GUACAAAUUAAAAAAGAAGAAGAAGAAGAAGUGGUAUCUUUCUGAUCAAUCAUGGCCAAGAUCAGUAUCUUUCUUUGCUCCUUCAUUGUUUUGAUUGUCAUGUCAUCCUUUGCGUCGAAUAUGGGAUCGGCAAAGGUGUGCCCAGUACCCACCUUUCUACAAACAGGUUACCCUAAUGGUGAAGUAUGCGCAAGUCAAUGUCCCGGUUUUUGUAAUCCCAUUUCUAGAGAAGACCCUUCUGUUCCUUCAUUUUUCACUUGCUUUGAGGGCUUUUGCCAGUGUUGCGCUGUUCCACCUAUUGAUGAUUAGAUCCCCUAUUGGGCCUCUUGGGGUUCUUGGUACUUACUACUUGGGAUGCAUCGUAUUGAGUUAUUGUUCACUUGAUUUGAUUUGGCUUGAGCACUGUGGUCCUUGUUGUAUUCAACAUUAUGUAAUUAAUCUAUCAGCGUGUGUUAUUCGUGACAUUUUGUAAUUUUCAUAUGACGCAAUUCUGGGAUGCGUCAUUACAUGAGAUGAAACAUCAUUUUGAGUUUGUAUUGCCUGCUCUACGAUGCGUCAGUAAUUACAAUGAUUGUUUCAUCUUGAA